rnacentral:rRNA from 1 species
GAUCCUGGCUCAGGAUGAACGCUAGCGGCAGGCCUAACACAUGCAAGUCGAGGGGUAUAAGUAGCAAUACUUAGAGACCGGCGCACGGGUGAGUAACGCGUAUGCAACCUACCUUAUACUGGAGAAUAGCUCAGUGAAAAUUGAAUUAAUACUCCAUAAAGCAGGGGUACCACCUGGUACUAUUUGCUAAAGAUUUAUCGGUAUAAGAUGGGCAUGCGUGCCAUUAGCUAGUUGGUAGGGUAACGGCCUACCAAGGCUACGAUGGCUAGGGGGUCUGAGAGGAUGAUCCCCCACACUGGUACUGAGACACGGACCAGACUCCUACGGGAGGCAGCAGUGAGGAAUAUUGGUCAAUGGGGGCAACCCUGAACCAGCCAUGCCGCGUGAAGGAUGACUGCCCUAAGGGUUGUAAACUUCUUUUGUACGGGGGUAAUUUUCCGGUUGUAACCGGAAUUGAAAGUACUGUAUGAAUAAGCGUCGGCUAACUACGUGCCAGCAGCCGCGGUAAUACGUAGGACGCAAGCGUUAUCCGGAUUUAUUGGGUUUAAAGGGUGCGUAGGCGGAUCCAUAAGUCAGUGGUGAGAUACUGUCGCUCAACGAUAGCAUUGCCAUUGAUACUGUGGGUCUUGAGUACAGUUGAGGUAGGCGGAAUGUGUAGUGUAGCGGUGAAAUGCUUAGAUAUUACACAGAACACCGAUUGCGAAGGCAGCUUACUAAGCUGAAACUGACGCUGAGGCACGAAAGCGUGGGGAUCAAACAGGAUUAGAUACCCUGGUAGUCCACGCCGUAAACUAUGAUGACUGGUUGUUAGCGAUAUACCGUUAGCGACUGAGCGAAAGCAUUAAGUCAUCCACCUGGGGAGUACGUCGGCAACGAUGAAACUCAAAGGAAUUGACGGGGGCCCGCACAAGCGGAGGAACAUGUGGUUUAAUUCGAUGAUACGCGAGGAACCUUACCUGGGCUCGAACGUGAGAGGAAUUAUGUUGAAAGAUGUAAGCCAGCAAUGGCCUCUUACGAGGUGCUGCAUGGUUGUCGUCAACUCGUGCCGUGAGGUGUCGGCUUAAGUGCCAUAACGAGCGCAACCCUUAUUGUUAGUUGCCAGCGGGUAAUGCCGGGGACUCUAACAAAACUGCCAGCGUAAGCUGUGAGGAAGGCGGGGAUGACGUCAAAUCAGCACGGCCCUUACGUCCAGGGCUACACACGUGUUACAAUGGAUGGUACAGAGGGCAGCUACUUCGCGAGAAGAUGCUAAUCUCGAAAGCCAUUCUCAGUUCGGAUUGGAGUCCGCAACUCGACUCCAUGAAG